GGAUUGCAGCCUGCAACUCGGCUGCAUGAAGCUGGAAUCGCUAGUAAUCGCAGAUCAGAAUGCUGCGGUGAAUACGUUCCCGGGUCUUGUACACACCGCCCGUCACACCAUGGGAGUUGGAAAUGCCCGAAGUCAGUGACCGAACCGAAAGGAAGGAGCUGCCGAAGGUGGAGCCGAUGACUGGGGUGAAGUCGUAACAAGGUAUC
rnacentral:rRNA from 1 species